CUUAAUUUGACUCAACACGGGAAAACUCACCCGGCCCGGACACCGUAAGGAUUGACAGAUUGAAAGCUCUUUCUCGAUUUGGUAGAUAUUAGGUCAUUUCAUAAGUCCUUGCCG
rnacentral:ncRNA from 1 species